GAACAACCACACAAGGAAGGUUAUUAUUAAGGACUUGGGAUAAAUCAUUUCACUGAGACGCAGAGGUUAAAGGACAAACUAAGGGGAAGUGGAUGGUAGGAUUUAAUCCCAGAUCUGUUACAUCUGCCUCCAAAAUCCUAGCUCUCUCUCUGACAUCAAGCUAUCCCUGGCAGGCUCAUUCCCCACCUCCACAGGGGCAUGCUGGUUUUCACCCCAGCCCUUGGGUCCACCGAGGACUUCUGGGCAUGGGAGAGGCAGGAGGCGGGCGUAUAGUAGCAUUUACCUGCUACAUCCCGCCCGCCUUGGCCAGGCAGGAGCUGCUCUCUGGGAUCUGGUUAGCAGCUAAUGAUCAGUGGGCUCCGGCUAUAAUGAUCGGAUUAGCUGCGCUUUAAUCACUGUCUAUUGUUUCAGCAGGGAGAGAAUUUCACAGCUCAUUGACUGCUCUGACUCCUAAUCUACACCGGAGGAAACAAUGUUGCAGCUCAUCAAAUGCAAUCAGCUGCUAAUUGAAAGGAAAUGGAAUUUUACAAUUACAGGCCACCUUUCAGUGCUCAGGAUUUCUAAGCCUUCUCCCCACCCUCCUUGGCCAGCUCAGCACUGGCAGGAGCACUUGACAACCUGCUGGAGACUUCCCUGAGAACUGCAUUUAGGAUCUGGCCCAGAGCCGCAAAAAGGGAAGCAGCAUCCUUGCCAGUUCCUAGACUGUCCUUCAAGGCUCAGUGCAAAGGGAAGAGGCUGGGGUUGGGCAUCCACAGACCUAAGUGAGUGUGCUGGCUCACCUUCCCGCCGCCCCUUUGACUUGAACAAGGUAUGCCCUUGUUCUUCCCCGAGCCCCACUUUCCUUCUCUCCAAAAUCAAGAUUUAAUGAUUUCCAAGGUUCUCAUUGGGCUUCCUUGGUGGCUCAAUGGUAAAGAAUCUGCCUGCAAUGCUGGAGAAAUGGGUUCAAUUACUGGGUUGGAAAGAUUCGCUGGAGAAGGAAAUAGCAAUCCGCACCAGUAUUCUUGCCUGGAAAAUCGCAUGGACAGAGGAGUCUGGAAGGCUACAGUCCAUGGGGUUGCAAAAGAGUCAGACAUGACUGAGCAACUAAACAACAAAACAACAGAGCUUAUUAGCUCCGAGGAUUCUGUUCACCCUAUUCCUGCUACUAUUCCCAUCCAGUGGACAACAUCUAAGUGGACAUACUCUUGCUGGCCCAGAUAUCUGCUUUUGCAAAUGCUACCAGGUUCAAAGUAGGUCAUAAAGCAUCAGAGACAACUCACAACAUCAACAAAGCAUUUGGCUAGGAACUGAUAAUGAACAUAUAGUGCAGUAGCAGUUCAAGAAGUUUUGCAAAGGAGGUGAGAGCCUUAAAGAUGAGGAGCAUAGUGGCCAGCCAUUGGAAGUUGACAAUGAAAAAUUGAGAGCAAUUAUCGAAGCUGAUCCUCUUACUACUACACAAGAAGUUACCAAAGAACUCAAUGUCAACCAUUCUAUGGUUAUUUACCAUUUGAAGCAAAUUGGAAAGGUGAAAAACCUUGAUAAGUGAAUGCCUCAUGAGCUGACCUAAAAUUUUUUAAAAAUCUUCAUUUUGAAGUGUUGUCUUCUCUUAUUCUAUGCAACAACAGCAAACUAUUUCUUGAUCAGAUUGCGACAUGAUGAAAAGUGAAUUUUAUAUGACAACGGACAAUGAUCAGCCAGUGGUUGGACCAAGAAUAAGCUCCAACUCACUUCCCCAAAACAAACUUGCACCAAAAAAGGUCAUCAUCACUAUUUGGUGGUCUGCUGUGGAUCUGAUCCAUCUGAAUCCCGGUGAAACCAUACAUCUGAGAAGUAUGUUCAACAAAUUGAUGAGAUGCACCAAAAAUUGCCACACCUACAGCAGGAACUGGUCAAUAGAAAGGGCCCAAUUUUUCACCAUGAUGACACCCAACCACACAUUGCACAACCAGUGCUUCAAAAUUUGGGCUACAGAGUUUUGCCUCAUCUGCCACCUUUACCUGACCUCUCCCUCUCUUGCCAGACAACCGACUACUACUUCUCCAAGCAUCUCUUUUGACAAUUUUUUUUUUUUUUUUUCAG
ensembl:lncRNA